GCCUUCGUGGUGUAGUGGUCAGCACGCUUGACGCAUAUUCGAGAGGUCUGUGGUUCGAGUCCCGGUGAGGGCA
rnacentral:tRNA from 1 species